rnacentral:tRNA from 1 species
ACGGAUAUAGUAUAGCGGUUAGUACUGCUAUCUUCCACAUAGUAAGCGAGAGUUCGAUUCUCUCUGUCCGUA